CAAAAGCACAAUCAGCGGAAGACAGAGAGACAUGGUUCCCUUCGUUUGACAUCGGGACAAGAAAACCACACUAUCUAUAUGCAUCACCAAAUGAAGAAGAAUUGGUUCUGAGUAAAGAGAAUAAACAAGUCAAAGCUGAAAAGAACAAUGACAAGCCAACUUGGAGUUUCCAGGAAAUUACCAUAACUUGAACAAUAAAUUCCACAAAUUGAGGUUAGUAAAGCACUAGGUAUCUACACCACCAUGAUCGACUAUACUAAUUCUAGCAUUAUCUGACGCAUAAGAAAUCCAUUUUUAGCUUUUCAGAAUAAUCAGGCAAUGGAAUGAUGAUGGAGCCAUAAUCCCCACACCAAUUAGGAGGAAGGAGUUUCUACUUUUUUGACAUUUAAAGACUGAAAACCCAAGUUAGUUAAAAGGGCGGGAGAAGAAACUGAUUCUACGGAAGUAGGUUAAAUUACAAUUUGCGGAAAGGAGAGCGGAACCGCAAGAGCUAAAAAGGGAACAUACCGAUUAAGAGUUGACCCCUUUGCAACGCAGCUGCUCUCUCUCUCUCUCUCUCUCGGCAGCUUGUGUAGCUUGAGCUCCCACUGCGCUAGGGACUGACGAUACAGAAAACGAGAGACGAGAGGAUCGAUAUGCCCUUUC
rnacentral:lncRNA from 1 species